UGGGGAAUUUUGGACAAUGGGGGCAACCCUGAUCCAGCCAUGCCGCGUGCGGGAAGAAGGCCUUCGGGUUGUAAACCGCUUUUAGCCGGGAAGAAAAGGCGCCACCUAAUACGGGGCGUUCUUGACGGUACCGGCGGAAUAAGCACCGGCAAACUACGUGCCAGCAGCCGCGGUAAUACGUAGGGUGCGAGCGUUAAUCGGAAUUACUGGGCGUAAAGCGUGCGCAGGCGGUUCGUUAAGUUCGUUGUGAAAGCCCCGGGCUCAACCUGGGAACUGCAAUGGAAACUGGCGGGCUUGAAUGCGGCAGAGGGGGGUGGAAUUCCGCGUGUAGCAGUGAAAUGCGUAGAGAUGUGGAGGAAUACCGAUGGCGAAGGCAGCCCCCUGGGCUAACACUGACGCUCAUGCACGAAAGCGUGGGGAGCAAAU
rnacentral:rRNA from 1 species